ACAAUGGGUGUUACUAUUCAGCUGUGGAAAUUAAAGCAAACAUUAGGAUGCUUUCUGCUAGUUCCAAGGAAGGCAUGGGUUGACCUAUCAAUGCGAUUAAAAGCCUUGUUCACAGAGAAACUUCAACACUCAUAAGAGUUCCUUUCAGGGCUAUUCAGGGAACAAAGAAGGCUUCAUAAGGGAGGGAUCAGAGAAGGGAACACUAGCAGGGAGUUGCACUAACUCAGAAACAGACUCAUGGAGACCGUAAUGCCAUUGAUUAGCGUGUGGAGUCACUAAAAAAAAACUAACAAACCCGACAGACAAUUCUCAGUCUCAUCCAGCAAAGAACACACCAACUUUGAGAGAGCAAGGACAGGUAUGGACAAGUUUCUUCGUAGAACAAAUGCUGCUGAAAUCAGAGAAGGCUUCAUAGCCAAGAGGCACAGAUGAGCAAAGGGCAGUCCUCCAGCAGCAGAGGAAUUCAGCAACUCCUAUGUUCAUUUAUGUAUGAAAUCUUUUCCUGUUAUCAUUAAAUCUGUCCACAGACCACAUGCAGUUGUCAGACUAAGCCACCCCAAGCUUUGUGAUAAGUUCUUUACUAGGAGAGUGGUGAGGUGCUGGAA